rnacentral:rRNA from 1 species
CCUACGGGUGGCAGCAGUGGGGAAUAUUGCGCAAUGGGCGAAAGCCUGACGCAGCGACGCCGCGUGAGGGAUGAAGGUCUUCGGAUCGUAAACCUCUGUCAGCAGGGAAGAACGGUCACUGUGCUAAUCAGCAGUGAAUUGACGGCACCUGCAAAGGAAGCACCGGCUAACUCCGUGCCAGCAGCCGCGGUAAUACGGAGGGUGCGAGCGUUAAUCGGAAUUACUGGGCGUAAAGCGCUCGUAGGCGGUAUGUCAAGUCAAGGGUGAAAUCCCCGCGCUCAACGUGGGAACUGCCUUUGAAACUGGCAAACUGGAGUGUGUGCGAGGAUAGUGGAAUUCCAGGUGUAGGAGUGAAAUGCGUAGAUAUCUGGAGGAACAUCAGUGGCGAAGGCGACUAUCUGGCACAUAACUGACGCUGAGGAGCGAAAGCGUGGGUAGCAAACAGGAUUAGAUACCCUAGUAGUC